UACGUAGGGGGCGAGCGUUGUCCGGAUUUAUUGGGCGUAAAGAGCGUGUAGGCGGCCAGGUAGGUCUGCUGUGAAAACUCGAGGCUCAACCUCGAGACGUCGGCGGAAACCAUCUGGCUAGAGUCCGGAAGAGGAGAGUGGAAUUCCUGGUGUAGCGGUGAAAUGCGCAGAUAUCAGGAAGAACACCCGUGGCGAAGGCGGUUCUCUGGGACGGUACUGACGCUGAGACGCGAAAGCGUGGGGAGCAAACAGG
rnacentral:rRNA from 1 species